UACAGAGGUGCCGAGCGUUAGGCGGAAUCACUGGGCUUAAAGCGCGUGUAGGCGGGUCGUUAAGUGUCCGCGUGAAAUCCCACGGCUCAACCGUGGAACUGCCGGGCAUACUGGCGACCUUGAGGCACUUAGGGGCGAGCGGAACAAAUGGUGGAGCGGUGAAAUGCGUAGAUAUCAUUUGGAACGCCGACGGUGAAAACAGCUCGCUGGGGAGUGUCCUGACGCUGAGACGCGAAAGCCAGGGGAGCGAACGGG
rnacentral:rRNA from 1 species